rnacentral:rRNA from 1 species
AUUGAACGCUGGCGGCAGGCCUAACACAUGCAAGUCGAACGAGUGGCGGACGGGUGAGUAAUGUCUGGGAAACUGCCUGAUGGCGGGGGAUAACUACUGGAAACGGUAGCUAAUACCGCAUACCAUCAGAUGUGCCCAGCUGGGAUUAGCUAGUUGGUGGGGUAACGGCUCACCAAGGGGACGAUCCCUAGCUGGUCUGAGAGGAUGACCAGCCACACUGGAACUGAGACAGGGGCCAGACUCCGACGGGAGGGAGCGGGGGGGAAUAUUGCACAAUGGGCGAAAGCCGGAUGCAGCAAUGCCGGGUGUAUGAAGAGGGCCUUCGGGUUGUAAAGUUCUUGCAGCGGGGAGGCGUUACCCGCAGAAGAAGCACCGCUAACUCCGUGCCAGCCGCCGCGGUAAUAC